AGUGAACGCUGGCGGUAGGCCUAACACAUGCAAGUCGAACGGCAGCACAGUAAGAGCUUGCUCUUACGGGUGGCGAGUGGCGGACGGGUGAGGAAUACAUCGGAAUCUACUUUUUCGUGGGGGAUAACGUAGGGAAACUUACGCUAAUACCGCAUACGACCUACGGGUGAAAGCAGGGGAUCUUCUGACCUUGCGCGAUUGAAUGAGCCGAUGUCGGAUUAGUUAGUUGGCGGGGUAAAGGCCCACCAAGGCGACGAUCCGUAGCUGGUCUGAGAGGAUGAUCAGCCACACUGGAACUGAGACACGGUCCAGACUCCUACGGGAGGCAGCAGUGGGGAAUAUUGGACAAUGGGCGCAAGCCUGAUCCAGCCAUACCGCGUGGGUGAAGAAGGCCUUCGGGUUGUAAAGCCCUUUUGUUGGGAAAGAAAAGCAGCAGGUUAAUACCCCGCUGUUCUGACGGUACCCAAAGAAUAAGCUCCGGCUAACUUCGUG
rnacentral:rRNA from 1 species